AGCAUCUAGUGAUUAGAGGGAUGG
rnacentral:siRNA from 1 species